rnacentral:rRNA from 1 species
AGAGUUUGAUCAUGGCUCAGAUUGAACGCUGGCGGCAUGCCUAACACAUGCAAGUCGAACGGCAGCACAGUGGAGCUUGCUCCAUGGGUGGCGAGUGGCGGACGGGUGAGUAAUGCAUCGGGACCUACCUAGACGUGGGGGAUAACGUAGGGAAACUUACGCUAAUACCGCAUACGUCCUACGGGAGAAAGCAGGGGACCUUCGGGCCUUGCGCGGUUAGACGGACCGAUGUUCGAUUAGCUUGUUGGUGAGGUAAUGGCUCACCAAGGCGACGAUCGAUAGCUGGUCUGAGAGGAUGAUCAGCCACACUGGAACUGAGACACGGUCCAGACUCCUACGGGAGGCAGCAGUGGGGAAUAUUGGACAAUGGGCGCAAGCCUGAUCCAGCAAUGCCGCGUGUGUGAAGAAGGCCUUCGGGUUGUAAAGCACCUUUAUCAGGAGCGAAAUACUACCGGCUAAUAUCCGGUGGGGCUGACGGUACCUGAGGAAUAAGCACCGGCUAACUUCGUGCCAGCCGCCGCGGUAAUAC